GAGUUUAGAGUGUCAAAACUAUUUUCUAAAAUUCGUUGGAUAGAUCUGAUUAGCUCUGAAUUUUCUCCUUACCUAUAUUCUUUCUCCUCUUACCUUUGCGAGUUUUGAAUCUUCCCUUAUGUGGUUCACCGAGUCUUAGGUUCCGACGCGGGUUGGACGAUCUAUGCCUUUCACCUAGUAGGUUCGAUCUUCGCAGGAUCCCGACGGAAGUGCAUCAUCAACAGCGGAACAACGAAUUCUUGUUAGUGGUGUCGAGAAGAUCAACACCUCGACAGAAGAAGGUUCCACGCCAAGGUCGGGUGUUUGUCAACAUGGUACCAGAAGAUCCGAUAGUUCACCUCUCUUCCCCCGUACCUGGACGUGGGAUCUCGGGGCGCGAUCCCUUGUUAGUGGUGUCAAUUGUAGCGACCCAGGAAAAUAUCCCUAUUAGAUUUGUUUGUUUCUUUUUAUUUUGUGCAUCAUCAUGUCCUCAUGCAUCAUACCAUCCAUGCUUUGAUAAAAUAAAAUUAUUAUAUUUAAUAACCCCUUCUCUUUAUCUUAUUUAAAAUAAUAUUAAAACCAAAAUAUUAUUAUUUUGGAUAUCUUGAAAACUAAUUUCAAAUCUGGUUUAAGUAUUAUUUUUUUAAAGUCUUAGAAUUUGUUUGAAGCUUUGUUAUAAAUUCCUUUCCAACCUUAUUUCUCUAUUUCUCUCCUUAUUUCAAAAUGUUUGGAGAACGUGGGAGUGAAGCCACAGCAGCCAAACUCUUUGGCCCAAGUUUCAACCGAAGCCACUCCUAGCCAUAUGAAUGUUGAGCCCAGCCUUUUUCUUUAUUCCUGGCAUGUUUCUUCUUGAGCCCAAAACCACAUCGUGGCAUGCAGCCCAGCCUCUACAACGCCUUCUUCUUCGUACGGACGCGCAUCGAGCGGAGCCACGUACCCCCCUACCUGAUCGAUGGGACAUCCAUCGCUUCCCGCUGCUUCAUAAAAACGACCCCGGCGCAAGCCCUGCAACCCUAGCAGCUUCCUCCCCGCCGCCACUCUCUCAUCCCUUUGUUUGCUCUAGCAAGCGCCGCCACUCCGCCGCUCGCUUCUCCUCUUGCUAACGGCCGCGGCGCUCGAGCUGCUGCCUCUACUUCUGCCAUAAGUGAGAACCUGCACCUCCUGUCUCCUCCGUCUCGUCGCCAAGGUCGCCAACGCGCGAGCGUCCUCUUCUCGUCCGCCUCCGUCAAGAUCGCCGUUCGCCGGCAGUCGCCCUUCUUCUCUUCUUCGUCUGCACCGGCCGCUGCUGCGUUGCCGGCCGCUCCAAGCUGCAAGUUCACCGUUUUCUCGACGUGGCCGUCCGCGCGCGCGUCUCCAAGCACGUCGGCAUGUUCUACGUCCGACGUCGUCCGUCCUCCCCGGCCGCGCUCCGUCAAGAUGGCUUCAGACGGUCGCGUCUUCGUCGCAAACCCCAUCCGGUUUGUCCAGGAGUGUCGCUCCCCAUCGUCGACGUCUCUGCUAGUCCAUCAACGCAAUCCCCUUCACACAGGCCGGUAACAAACGCCAGUAUCCAAGCCACGGCACGGCCAAGCAUAGACCGCCGUCGACGCCUCCGGCCGGCCAGCUCCGGCUACUCCCGUCGCCCCUCCCUCCGUCAGCAUCGCGUGCAGCAGGCAAGGAGCUGCUUUGUUAGUUCAGUUGUUGCAGUACGCCUGUUUGACAUGAUCUGAAGCUAGCACAGCUGCUGGGCCUGCCGUCUGUGUCCUGUGCUAGCUUCCCUCCGGUGAGACAAGGAUCAGCAUCCAGCCCCAGUCUGUUUCUCUGGUCCUGCGCUUCAGCCGCACAGGCUCUCUUUCUUUUCGCAUCUGCUUCUUCACGGAUAGGAUCGCGAAGUGGUGUGGUGAGAUACGACAAGUCCUCCGGAUGUUCCUCGGCAAGCUUUAACAG